rnacentral:rRNA from 1 species
AUUGAACGCUGGCGGCAGGCCUAACACAUGCAAGCCGAGCGGAGGAAGGGAGCUUGCUCCUGGAUUCAGCGGCGGACGGGUGAGUAAUGCCUAGGAAGCUGCCAGGUAGCGGGGGAUAACGUCCGGAAACGGGCGCUAAUACCGCAUACGGCCUGAGGGAGAAAGUGGGGGAUCUUCGGACCUGACGCUAUAAGAUGAGCCUAGGUCGGAUUAGCUAGUUGGUGGGGUAAAGGCCUACCAAGGCGACGAUCCGUAACUGGUCUGAGAGGAUGAUCAGUCACACUGGAACUGAGACACGGUCCAGACUCCUACGGGAGGCAGCAGUGGGGAAUAUUGGACAAUGGGCGAAAGCCUGAUCCAGCCAUGCCGCGUGUGUGAAGAAGGUCUUCGGAUUGUAAAGCACUUUAAGUUGGGAGGAAGGGCAGUAAGUUAAUACCUUGCUGUUUUGACGUUACCAACAGAAUAAGCACCGGCUAACUUCGUG